UCAGCCUUAAACUGACAGUGCCACAACAAACUGUCCGCCAGAGAACUACUAGCGAAAAGCUUGAAACUCAAAGGACUUGACGGUGUUCCACAUCAACCUAGAGGAGCCUGUCCUAUAAUCGAUGACCCACGCUGCACCCAACCUGCUCUUGUAAACUCAGCCUAUAUACCGCCGCCUCCAGUUUGCCUAAUGAUAGAACUACAGCAGACAAAAUCGCCUCCACAAGAACGUCAGGUCAAGGUGUAGCUAACGAGCAGGAAGAGAUGGGCUACAUUUUCUCCCACAGAAAAUACCACUAGCGCUAUGAAAUCUUCGCCAAAAGGAGGAUUUAGCAGUAAGCCCAGACAGAGCUCCUGGACUGAAGCACGCUCUGGAACG
rnacentral:rRNA from 1 species